rnacentral:rRNA from 1 species
AACGAACGCUGGCGGCAUGCCUAACACAUGCAAGUCGAACGGGAUCCUAGCUUGCUAGGUGAGAGUGGCGGACGGGUGAGUAACACGUGGGAAUCCGCCUUUUGGUUCGGGAUAACCGCGGGAAACUGCGGCUAAUACCGAAUGCCCUCGUGAGAGGAAAGAUUUAUCGCCAGAAGAGGAGCCCGCGUCCGAUUAGGUAGUUGGUGGGGUAAAGGCCUACCAAGCCGACGAUCGGUAGCUGGUCUGAGAGGAUGAUCAGCCACACUGGGA